rnacentral:rRNA from 1 species
GACGUAGGGUGCAAGCGUUAAUCGGAAUUACUGGGCGUAAAGCGUGCGCAGGCGGUUCGGAAAGAAAGGUGUGAAAUCCCAGGGCUUAACCUUGGAACUGCACUUUUAACUACCGAGCUAGAGUAUGUCAGAGGGGGGUGGAAUUCCGGCGUGUAGCAGUGAAAUGCGUAGAUAAUGCGGAGGAACACCGAUGGCGAAGGCAGCCCCCUGGGAUAAUACUGACGCCUCGAUGACACGAAAGCG